rnacentral:rRNA from 1 species
UACGGGGGGGGCAAGCGUUGUUCGGAAUUACUGGGCGUAAAGGGCUCGUAGGCGGCCAACUAAGUCAGACGUGAAAUCCCUCGGCUUAACCGGGGAACUGCGUCUGAUACUGGAUGGCUUGAGUUCGGGAGAGGGAUGUGGAAUUCCAGGUGUAGCGGUGAAAUGCGUAGAUAUCAGGAAGAACACCCGUGGCUAAGGCGGCUCUCUAGUACGGUACUGACGCUGAGACGCGAAAGCGUGGGGAGCGAACAGG